UGGGGAAUUUUGGACAAUGGGCGAAAGCCUGAUCCAGCAAUGCCGCGUGUGUGAAGAAGGCCUUCGGGUUGUAAAGCACUUUUGUCCGGAAAGAAAUCCUUGGCUCUAAUACAGUCGGGGGAUGACGGUACCGGAAGAAUAAGCACCGGCUAACUACGUGCCAGCAGCCGCGGUAAUACGUAGGGUGCAAGCGUUAAUCGGAAUUACUGGGCGUAAAGCGUGCGCAGGCGGUUUGCUAAGACCGAUGUGAAAUCCCCGGGCUCAACCUGGGAACUGCAUUGGUGACUGGCAGGCUAGAGUAUGGCAGAGGGGGGUAGAAUUCCACGUGUAGCAGUGAAAUGCGUAGAGAUGUGGAGGAAUACCGAUGGCGAAGGCAGCCCCCUGGGCCAAUACUGACGCUCAUGCACGAAAGCGUGGGGAGCAAACAGGAUUAGAUACCCUGGUAGUCCACGCCCUAAACGAUGUCAACUAGUUGUUGGGGGAUUCAUUUCCUUAGUAACGUAGCUAACGCGUGAAGUUGACCGCCUGGGGAGUACGGUCGCAAGAUUAAAACUCAAGGAAUUGACGGGGUCAUAGCUGUUUCCU
rnacentral:rRNA from 1 species